rnacentral:rRNA from 1 species
GAUGCCUUGGUUUUACGUACCGAAGAAGGACGCACAAGACGUGCGAUACGCGUCGGGGAGCUGUCAAGAAGCUUUGAUCCGGCGAUGUCCGAAUGGGGGAACCCCCCCGCAAUUGCGGGGAUAUCACCCUGAAACUUCCAAUUUAUUGGAACAUAUUGGUGAUAGUGGGAACUACCUGAACUGAAACAUCUAAGUAAGGUAAGGAAAAGAAAACAAUUGCCCCGAUUUAAUCGGGGUUGUGAUUCCGUCAGUAGCGGCGAGCGAAAGCGGAUCAGCCUAAACCCUGUCCGUGGGACAGGAGUAAUAAACCAAUAAAUACCAAUAAACAAAUAACCCAAUUACCAAUUGGUGCACAUUUGUAAUUUGUAUUUAUUUGUAAUUUGUUAUUCCCGCCCUGCGGGUGGGGGGUUGCGGGAGUCCAACGUGGCAGUUUAAUUGAUAGGAGAACGGUCUGGAAUGUCCGGCCAUAGAGAGUGAAAGCCUCGUAAACGAAAUUAAUUAAACGCCUAGGAAUGUCCCAAGUACCACGGUAUACAGAUGCUGUGGGAAUCCGGGGGAACCAUCCUCCAAGGCUAAAUAUACGUAGAAACCGAUAGUGAACUAGUACCGCAAGGGAAAGGUGAAAAGAAGGGUGAGACACCCAGUGAAAUAGAAACUGAAACUGUUUGCGAUCAAACCGUAAGAGCCUGUUCGUAGAACAGGAAUAAUAAGCCAAUAAGUACCAAUAAACAAAUAAUCCAAUGACCAAUCAAGCACAAAACACCUGAUUGAGAAUUGGUAUUUAUUUGCAAUUUGUAUUUAUUUGUAUUUAUUGUUCCCGCUCUGCGAGCGGGUGAUUACGUGCCUAUUGAAGAAUGAGCCGGCGAGUUGUCAUCUAGUGCAAGCUGAAGACGCGAGAGCGUAAGAGGCGUAGCGAAAGCAAGUCUUAAAAGGCGCUUACCUGCGCAAGCAGGAUUAGUACUAUGUGGCAGACCCGAAACCGAGUGAUCUAACCAUGAGCAGGGAGAAGCCCCGCGAAAGCGGGGUGGAAGCCCGAACCCGUCGUUGUUACAAUAACGUGGGAUGACUUGUGGUUAGGGGUAAAAUGCCAAACGAACUCGGAGAUAGCUGGUUCUCCCCGAAAGGUCUAUAGGGACCGUGGUGUGUUAGGUGUUAUUGGUGGUAGAGAUACUGGAUGGGAUAGCGAGGGUAACUGAGUUAUUUCAACCAAACUCCGAAUACCAGUGUACAUUAUCAUACUAGACAGCCACGUCGGGCUAAGCCGACGUGACUAAAGGGAAACAACCCAGACUCACAGCUAAGGUCUUUAAAUCUAUUUUAAGUUUCAAAGGAAGUUAUUUUCCACAGACAGCCAGGAGGUUGGCUCAGAAGCAGCCAUCCUUUAAAGAUAGCGUAACAGCUCACUGGUAAAGGAAAGUAGCACCUAAAAUUUAUCGAGGAUUAAAAAUAGUACCGAAGCUUGAGCCCGCGCAAGUUUUCGCAAGAAAAUUUGUUCGGGGGUAGGGGAGCGUUCCAAUUGCAGUGAAGCUAUGCCGUGAGGCGUGGUGGAGCGAUUGGAAGUGAGAAUGUCGGCAUGAGUAGCGUGCAAUUCCUGUAAGAAUCAGGAACGUCGUACACCCGAGGUUUUCCCGGCGAGGUUCGUCCUCCGGGAGUUAGUCGGUACCUAACCCAAGCCCCGCAACAGCGGGGGUAGGGGAUGGAAGACUGGUUAAUAUUCCAGUAUUUAGUUUGAAUCGAUUUCUGCGCAAGCAGGAUACAGUUGGGGAUUGACGGAGAAGGAUGAUGAGAGCCCAUUCGUGAAGUUGGGUGGAAGCAGUAAGAUAGUUGUCACUGGCAAAUCCAUGACGAUGUUUAAUCGAAUUGUGAUCCAAAGCCGGUCUAAAAACUGGCAAUUUUCAUUUAUUCAUUUCCCCAGAAAAGAUUCGCAACGAGAGUCAAACUAAGCCGUACCUAAACCAACACAGGUGGGUGGGGUGAGUAACCCAAGACGGGCGAGAGAAAAAAGCUUAAGGAACUCGGCAAAAAAACUAGACGUAAGUUCGCAAGAUGUCUUGCCCCGCAAUUGCGGGGUUGCAAUAAAAAUUUAUUAGCCGACUGUUUAUCAAAAACACAGGUCCGUGCAAAAGCGAAUAGCUUAAGUAUACGGGCCGACGCCUGCCCAGUGCUGGUAAGUUAAACGGAUCC